UUUUUUCCUGCACUUUGCUGAAAACAAUAUUGAGAGAGAAGAGAGAGAACCAUGUUUUUUUCUUUUGUUUUUUCUAUUCCACAUGUCAACGUACUAGUGGUUCUUUUAUGAAUUUUUUAUUUAAAAAAACAGUUGAUGUUUGUUGAGAGUUGACCAACCCCCUCCUUCCUAUUUUUGUCCAUUUAUUUUUUUAUUUUUUUAAUAUUAACCUUUUUAAUUAAAUUAGGUUUUAGUUUGUGUUGAGACAUUUGGAUUUGCCCCA
rnacentral:lncRNA from 1 species